rnacentral:rRNA from 1 species
CCUAAACGGCGAAACUGCGAAUGGCUCAUUAAAUCAGUUAUCGUUUAUUUGAUAGUACCUACUACAUGGAUAACCGUGGUAAUUCUAGAGCUAAUACAUGCUAAAAAUCCCGACUUCGGAAGGGAUGUAUUUAUUAGAUUAAAAACCAAUGCCCUUCGGGGCUCCCUGGUGAUUCAUAAUAACUUCUCGAAUCGCAUGGCCUUGCGCUGGCGAUGGUUCAUUCAAAUUUCUGCCCUAUCAACUUUCGACGGCUGGGUCUUGGCCAGCCAUGGUGACAACGGGUAACGGAGGGUUAGGGCUCGACCCCGGAGAAGGAGCCUGAGAAACGGCUACUACAUCCAAGGAAGGCAGCAGGCGCGCAAAUUACCCAAUCCCGAUACGGGGAGGUAGUGACAAUAAAUACUGAUACAGGGCUCUUUUGGGUCUUGUAAUUGGAAUGAGUACAAUUUAAAUCCCUUAACGAGGAACAAUUGGAGGGCAAGUCUGGUGCCAGCAGCCGCGGUAAUUCCAGCUCCAAUAGCGUAUAUUAAAGUUGUUGCAGUUAAAAAGCUCGUAGUUGAACCUUGGGCCUGGCUGGCCGGUCCGCCUCACCGCGUGCACUGGUCCGGCCGGGCCUUUCCCUCUGGGGAGCCGCAUGCCCUUCACUGGGUGUGUCGGGGAACCAGGACUUUUACUGUGAAAAAAUUAGAGUGUUCAAAGCAGGCCUAUGCUCGAAUACAUUAGCAUGGAAUAAUAGAAUAGGACGUGCGGUUCUAUUUUGUUGGUUUCUAGGACCGCCGUAAUGAUUAAUAGGGACAGUCGGGGGCAUCAGUAUUCAAUUGUCAGAGGUGAAAUUCUUGGAUUUAUUGAAGACUAACUACUGCGAAAGCAUUUGCCAAGGAUGUUUUCAUUAAUCAGGAACGAAAGUUAGGGGAUCGAAGACGAUCAGAUACCGUCGUAGUCUUAACCAUAAACUAUGCCGACUAGGGAUCGGGCGGUGUUAUUUUUUGACCCGCUCGGCACCUUACACGAAAGUAAAGGGGUGGGUCUGGGGGAGA